rnacentral:rRNA from 1 species
CGCGUAGGCGGCCUUAUAAGUCAGAUGUGAAAGCCCACGGCUCAACUGUGGAAGUGCAUUUGAAACUGUCUGGCUUGAGUAUCGGAGGGGAGUGUGGAAUUCCCGGUGUAGAGGUGAAAUUCGUAGAGAUCGGGAGGAACACCGGUGGCGAAGGCGACACUCUGGACGAAUACUGGCGCUGAGGCGCGAAAGCGUGGGGAGCAAACA